rnacentral:rRNA from 1 species
CCUACGGGAGGCAGCAGUAAGGAAUAUUGGUCAAUGGGCGCAAGCCUGAACCAGCCAUGCCGCGUGCAGGAAGACGGCCCUACGGGUUGUAAACUGCUUUUGUACCGGAAUAAACCCCCGAUCGUGAUCGGGGCUGAAUGUACGGUAAGAAUAAGGAUCGGCUAACUCCGUGCCAGCAGCCGCGGUAAUACGGAGGAUCCAAGCGUUAUCCGGAUUUAUUGGGUUUAAAGGGUGCGUAGGCGGCCUGUUAAGUCAGGGGUGAAAGACGGUAGCUUAACUAUCGCAGUGCCUUUGAUACUGACGGGCUUGAAUGUACUUGAGGUAGCGGAAUGUGA